GUCUACAGCCAUAUCACCCUGAAUGCUCCCAAUCUCAUCUGUUCUUGGAAGCUAAGCAGGGUUGGGACUGGUUAGUACUUGGAUGGGAGACCUCCUGGGAAUAGUGGGUGCUGUAGGCC
ensembl:rRNA 5S_rRNA 5S ribosomal RNA